rnacentral:rRNA from 1 species
UACGAAGGGGGCUAGCGUUGCUCGGAAUUACUGGGCGUAAAGCGCACGUAGGCGGUCUUUUAAGUCGGGGGUGAAAUCCUGGAGCUCAACUCCAGAACUGCCUUCGAUACUGGAAGACUUGAGUCCGGGAGAGGUGAGUGGAACUGCGAGUGUAGAGGUGAAAUUCGUAGAUAUUCGCAAGAACACCAGUGGCGAAGGCGGCUCACUGGCCCGGUACUGACGCUGAGGUGCGAAAGCGUGGGGAGCGAACAGG